UACGAAGGGGGCUAGCGUUGCUCGGAAUUACUGGGCGUAAAGGGCUCGUAGGCGGCCAACUAAGUCAGACGUGAAAUCCCUCAGCUUAACUGGGGAACUGCGUCUGAUACUGGAUGGCUUGGAUCCGGGAGAGGGAUGCGGAAUUCCAGGUGUAGCGGUGAAAUGCGCAGAUAUCAGGAGGAACACCGAUGGCGAAGGCAGGUCUCUGGGCUGUAACUGACGCUGAGGAGCGAAAGCAUGGGGAGCGAACAGG
rnacentral:rRNA from 1 species